GAUGAACGCUGGCGGCGUGCCUAAUACAUGCAAGUCGAGCGAACGGACGAGAAGCUUGCUUCUCUGAUGUUAGCGGCGGACGGGUGAGUAACACGUGGAUAACCUACCUAUAAGACUGGGAUAACUUCGGGAAACCGGAGCUAAUACCGGAUGAUAUUUUGAACCUCAUGGUUCAAAAGUGAAAGACGGUCUUGCUGUCACUUAUAGAUGGAUCCGCGCUGCAUUAGCUAGUUGGUAAGGUAACGGCUUACCAAGGCAACGAUGCAUAGCCGACCUGAGAGGGUGAAUGGCCACACUGGAAGUGAGACACGGUCCAGACUCCUACGGGAGGAAGCAGUAGGGAAUCUUCCGCAAUGGGCGAAAGCCUGACGGAGCAACGCGGCGUGAGGGAUGAAGGUCUUCGGAUGGGAAAACUCUGUUAUUAGGGAAGAACAUAUGUGUAAGUAACUGUGCACAUCUUGACGGUACCUAAUCAGAAAGCCACGGCUAACUACGUG
rnacentral:rRNA from 1 species